rnacentral:rRNA from 1 species
UACGAAGGGGGCUAGCGUUGCUCGGAAUCACUGGGCGUAAAGGGUGCGUAGGCGGGUUUUUAAGUCAGGGGUGAAAUCCUGGAGCUCAACUCCAGAACUGCCUUUGAUACUGAAGAUCUUGAGUCCGGGAGAGGUGAGUGGAACUCCGAGUGUAGAGGUGAAAUUCGUAGAUAUUCGGAAGAACACCAGUGGCGAAGGCGGCUCACUGGCCCGGUACUGACGCUGAGAUACGAAAGCGUGGGGAGCAAACAGG